UACGUAGGGGGCAAGCGUUGUCCGGAUUUAUUGGGCGUAAAGCGCGCGCAGGCGGUCUUUUAAGUCUGAUGUGAAAGCCCACGGCUCAACCGUGGAGGGUCAUUGGAAACUGGGAGACUUGAGUGCAGAAGAGAAGAGUGGAAUUCCACGUGUAGCGGUGAAAUGCGUAGAGAUGUGGAGGAACACCAGUGGCGAAGGCGACUCUUUGGUCUGUAACUGACGCUGAGGCGCGAAAGCGUGGGGAGCAAACAGG
rnacentral:rRNA from 1 species